rnacentral:rRNA from 1 species
UACGAAGGGGGCUAGCGUUGUUCGGAAUCACUGGGCGUAAAGCGCACGUAGGCGGAUUUUUAAGUCAGGGGUGAAAUCCCGAGGCUCAACCUCGGAACUGCCUUUGAUACUGGAGAUCUUGAGUCCGGAAGAGGUAAGUGGAACUGCGAGUGUAGAGGUGAAAUUCGUAGAUAUUCGCAAGAACACCAGUGGCGAAGGCGGCUUACUGGUCCGGAACUGACGCUGAGGUGCGAAAAGCGUGGGGGAGCAAACAGGG